GGAGGGGGGCGGGUGACGAACGUGGCGGAGGAAAGCGCCCGCCCACGCUGCGACCCGCCCAUCCGCACCUGGGUUUAAGUUAGAGCCUCUGGCCGCCCAGUGACCCGCAAGGUCGCGGGCGGGUUCCCGAUCCCGGGAGGCGCGGCCUCAGGCCAGAUCCCGCUGGGACUGGGACUGGGCGGCAGCUGAGGCCUGAGCACGGGGAUUUCCUGCUCAGAAGUGGGGAACCGAGUAACUUAGUUCUUGGCUGCCCUUCCUGGAGGCCUCGAAUGGCGCAUGCUCUUCAGUACCAGUAUAAAGAAAGUAUGAAGAAUGAGCGUGAUUAAAACAAAAACAAAACUGUGGAGCUUAUUAUGCAUGCUCUAUCAUAGCACGGACAACAUACGAUAAAUUCCUGUUUUCAUGAACGAAUGAAUCUUCCUCUGUCCAUCUGGCUCUCAGCCUGGCCCUCAAAUAAAAAAUACCUCAAGUAUCCAUCUACACUUGCUGUCCUGCUCUGAGGAAAUGCAGUUCUAAAGAAGAGAGACCGCAGAAAUCACAGAGGGAAGAGAUGAGGGGAAAAUCAAUUUGGUGCAGUUUUCACAAACCUUUAAAAUAGGGCGAUUUAAGUGAUGAUGGGGUUUCAUGACCAGCGGCGGCUCUGAAGGGAAUGCUCACGUCUCCUGGCAUUUCUCUGAGUAGGUGGGAAAGGAAGGAAAAUGGUUUUUUUCCUCCCCUUCUACUUAGAAGAAAAUGGAGGCAAUGAAAAGCAAACGUCUCCCAUAAUGUCCCAUUACGGAGGACAAAUGAAAUGCUGCUCCCUGUAGCUCCUCAGCCAGGCUCUGGGCAGGCCUUCUCCUCCAAGCUCCAGAAACUAAGUAUUCCCCAACACACCUGGCACUGCUGUUACCAUGGUGACACUUUUGUAUUACCCUCACCUUUUGUGUUCCUUAACUUGGGGGCGGAGGCUGGUGCAGGGCACAGUUGAGUUUUCAUAUUUCUCCCCGGCUUCUGUAAAAUGGAAGAAGAGAAGAGGGGACAGGAUCCUGAUCUCCUCUGCCUGCUUCCUUGGCUCCUUGUUUCUCCGUUCCUCUACUAGACCUCACUGGCCAAGGCACCUAGAAUGGAGGCAGAGGAUGGAUGGAAAAAGCUUUGAUGGAGCCCAAUAGACCUGGGUUCAAAUUUGCAACUCCUCCAGGAAUCCAUGUGUCUUCAUUCAAACCUGCCCUGGCUCAAGUACUGGCAGAUUGGAGGGAAAGUCAAGAGGACAGAUAAUAUGAGCCAGAAUGAAAAGCAACAAAGCAGGUACUGGUCCCCCCUCUCUGUACCUGGGAUUGAAUUUAAGGCCUGAAGCUCACUAGCAAGCUCUGCAUUACUAAGCUGAGCUAUUCACACACACACACACCUUUUUUCUUUUUUUUUCAUUUUGAGAUGGUGUCUCACUGCAUAGCCCAGGCUCUCUUUGAACUAGCAAUCCAACCUCACCCUGCCACCAGGCCUCUCUAGGUGCUGUCUCUCUCGAUUCCUGGGAAAACAGAAAGAUGUAAAACCCAAACUGAACUGAGAGGGACUCAGGAAAAGCCAAGCACUUAGGAGUUAGGUAUGUGGGCUCAACAAAACUAAGCGUGAGAAGAGCCAGGCAUAAGGGUGCUUCCUAUAAUCCUGGGACUGGGGAGACCAAGGCAGGAGGGUAAUGAGUUUGAAGCCAGCCUGGAAUUUUCAGCAAGUCCCUGCCUAGAAAAACAACCAUCUGAGAAAUGAUGGUGCACGCCUUUAAUCCCAGCACUCAGGAGGCAGAGGCAGGCGGAUCCCUGUGAGUUCCAGGCCAAGUUUGGUCUACAGCACGAGUUCCAGGACAGCCUCCAAAGCUACAGAGAAACCCUGUCUUGGAAAAACAAACAGACAAACAAAACAACAACAAAAAACAACACACACACACACAAAACAUUCACACUCAGCACACAGACCCAGACUAUCCAAAACUCCACUUGGUAACCUUAGAUAGCUCUGAACUUCAACUCUUCAGUGUCUUUACUUGUAAAAGGAUGGUCCUAAUCAUACCAAUCCCGAGGAGUCUUGCUGGGAUUCUAAGAUACGGCAUAUGAACCAGCAGGGUCAGUAUACAAAAGGUGGCUGCUUCCGAAUCAGCGCCCCUGACCAAGCAGCCACUGUUUCCGCAGCUGGACUGCAGCUGGCACCGCAGUUACUGUUUCACGUGUAUGGAGCCUGGCUUCUGGCUGCCUCUCCAGAAACACAGCUUCCCAGCCUUUUUGGACUCUUUCACUUUUGCCCUCUGCAGCUUUCAAACUCCAGGUCCAGAAGGCCACAUACAAUUCACACCUGAGGCCCAUCUUCAGCGUUCCCCUCCUCACCAGCAUUAGCCUCUCCCCUAGACCAGGGGGCCCAGAGAAGGCCAGGGGAUGGUCCAAGGCCUUAAUUGCCUCCCCGCCCCUCCAGGACAAAGAGGGAGGGCUUCUCAGAGACGGAGAUGGGAAAGGGCAGUGUGCGCCAGUCCUGAUGCAAUCGUCCUCGGAUUUCUUGGCCCACUUCCUCCUUCUCAAGUGUUUACUGAAGCCUGAAUUCCACAGAAACCUCUGCAAGUGUGCACUGACAACAGUGGCGGGCAGGAUGCAUAACUGCCCUGGCUCCAGGGACAGUUUAGGAAGAAAUGAUCCUGUGCCCUGGGCUCAGGGACGCUGGCGAGAGAAAUCCAGUGUCGGGAAUCCAGUGGGAGGGGCGAGGAUGGUAGGCUGAAGGAAGAGGCACCGCUGAGGGGCUGACUUCUGCUUCGUGCCAGAUCCAGCUUCCAGAACCCGCUCUGGGGAAGCUAAUAGACUCUUUAUCUAAGCUGUGUAGAGGAGGCUACCACAAGGGGUCUUCCAGUGAUGGGCGCCUCAGAAGCAGCUUAGAGGCGCAUCUCUUCCCUGUCAGCCCAACUAGCGGAAAAGCAGCUUCUUGGAAGGGGACACUUGGUCCUCAGCCGUAGUCUUGGCUGGGUCUCCUGGAGACAUUCUUAGAAGAGCAGGGCGCAUAGUGGUUCCGGACAUGGGAUGUGGGAAGUUAUUUGCUAGCUGCCCCAGGCAAGCGAUUUCAUCUGACAGACUCUCACCUUCGUCCUGGCAAAAGACAAAUGGUGAAAGCUCACCUCACAGACCGGCCUCUGGGCCGCAGAGCCUUUCCUUGGCAAUGUUACAAUCUCUCAAUAGCCCAUUAGAGCUGUAACCCUUUAAUACUGUUCUCCAUGUUGUGGUGACCCCACACACACAUACCAUAAACUCAUUUUGCUGCUAUUUCAUAACUGCAAUUUAGCUACUGUUAUGAAUCUUAAUGUAGAUAACUGAUAGGCAGGACAUCUGAUAUGCAGCCUGUGUGUGUGUGUGUGUGUGUGUGUGUGUGUGUGUGUGUGUGUGUGUGUGGUGGACCCCAGGGUGAGAAGUCCUGCACUAGAUGAUGGUAUUGUUACUUUAUUUGAUAAGAAUCAAGGCUUGGAGAGUCUUUUUCUGAAGCUGGAGCCUGACAGUGAUGCUUUUGUCAAUAUCUAAUGACUAUUUCCCAGGAGAGACCAGGUUUCCCCACCCCCAGAGCUGUGAAACCUAGUACCUAAACUUGCUCAAGCGCCUGAGUCACCCAGCAAGACAAGCCCAAGAUAAUCAGAUCAAGGAAACUCAAGGCAGAGAGGGGAAAUCCCAGCCACAGGGCUGGGACCUUCUCAACUGUGAGCCCCUCCAAUGAGCUUUCACUGUGGACAACACAAACAAACCAGCAUCUGACACCUGGGAAGAGGUGCUGGGAGUUCCCAGAGCAAGGUGUCAGUGACACCUGGGUCUCUGGCCAGCAGCCACACCCUUGCCUGACUUGACACAAACUCUGCUUUUUGUUUUGCUUUUUUUUUAAUUUAAUUUAAUUAGUUCAAAUUAGGAACAUGCUUGCUUCAGAUGUCAAUCCUUUCUCCCUCUCCCUCUCCCUCUUCCUCCCCUCCCCCCCAACAUCCCACCUGCCCCUAGCCAUCCCCCCCUCCACUCCCCAGACAGGGUAAGGCCCUCAAAAGGGGCUCCCCAAAGUCUACCACAUCAUCUACCACAUCAUCCUGGGCCAGGCCUAGGCCCUUCUGUUUUGCUUUUUUUAUUUUAUUUUGUGUGUGUUGGUGUUUUGCCUAGGCGUAUGUCUGUGUAAGGGUGUCAGAUCCCUUGGAACUGGAGUUACAGACAGUGUGAGCUACCCAGGUCCUCUGGAAAAGCAGCCAGUGCUCUUAACCACGGAUCUAUCUCUCCAGCCCCUCAUUUUUUUUUUUUUUUUUAAGACAAGAGUCUCACUUUGUACCACUGGCUGACCUGGAAUUCAUUAUGCAGACCAGGCUGGCAGGCUGGCCUUGAACUCACAGAGAUCCUCCUGCCCUGCCUCUGACUAUUUACUUUUAGAUGACUCUCUUUUUCCCCUAUUCCCCACUGCUGGAAGAACUGACUAACUCCCAUCCUCACUGCCCAUUCGAUCCCAAGCCUCUUUGGUUUCUGCUCAGCUAUCCCACGAACACCUUCUGAUCACACUCACUGAUGGACUGAUAAUUGCCAAGAUCUAAAGGUCACCUCCAUGCC
ensembl:lncRNA